AGAUCCUGAAACCGUGUGCCUACAAAUAGUCAGAGCCCGUUAAUGGGUGAUGGCGUGCCUUUUGUAGAAUGAACCGGCGAGUUACGAUCCCGUGCGAGGUUAAGUUGAAGAGACGGAGCCGCAGCGAAAGCGAGUCUGAAUAGGGCGUUUAGUACGUGGUCGUAGACCCGAAACCAGGUGAUCUACCCAUGUCCAGGGUGAAGUUCAGGUAACACUGAAUGGAGGCCCGAACCCACGCACGUUGAAAAGUGCGGGGAUGAGGUGUGGGUAGCGGAGAAAUUCCAAUCGAACCUGGAGAUAGCUGGUUCUCCCCGAAAUAGCUUUAGGGCUAGCCUUAAGUGUAAGAGUCUUGGAGGUAGAGCACUGAUUGAACUAGGGGUCCUCAUCGGAUUACCGAAUUCAGUCAAACUCCGAAUGCCAAUGACUUAUCCUUAGGAGUCAGACUGCGAGUGAUAAGAUCCGUAGUCAAGAGGGAAACAGCCCAGAUCGCCAGCUAAGGUCCCAAAGUGUGUAUUAAGUGGAAAAGGAUGUGGAGUUGCUUAGACAACUAGGAUGUUGGCUUAGAAGCAGCCACCAUUUAAAGAGUGCGUAAUAGCUCACUAGUCGAGUGACUCUGCGCCGAAAAUGUACCGGGGCUAAAUACACCACCGAAGCUGCGAAUUGAUACCAAUGGUAUCAGUGGUAGGGGAGCGUUCUAAGUGCAGUGAAGUCAGACCGGAAGGACUGGUGGAGCGCUUAGAAGUGAGAAUGCCGGUAUGAGUAGCGAAAGACGGGUGAGAAUCCCGUCCACCGAAUGCCUAAGGUUUCCUGAGGAAGGCUCGUCCGCUCAGGGUUAGUCAGGACCUAAGCCGAGGCCGACAGGCGUAGGCGAUGGACAACAGGUUGAUAUUCCUGUACCACCUCUUUAUCGUUUGAGCAAUGGAGGGACGCAGAAGGAUAGAAGAAGCGUGCGAUUGGUUGUGCACGUCCAAGCAGUUAGGCUGAUAAGUAGGCAAAUCCGCUUAUCGUGAAGGCUGAGCUGUGAUGGGGAAGCUCCUUAUGGAGCGAAGUCUUUGAUUCCCCGCUGCCAAGAAAAGCUUCUAGCGAGAUAAAAGGUGCCUGUACCGCAAACCGACACAGGUAGGCGAGGAGAGAAUCCUAAGGUGUGCGAGAGAACUCUGGUUAAGGAACUCGGCAAAAUGACCCCGUAACUUCGGGAGAAGGGGUGCUUUCUUAACGGAAAGCCGCAGUGAAUAGGCCCAAGCGACUGUUUAGCAAAAACACAGGUCUCUGCGAAGCCGUAAGGCGAAGUAUAGGGGCUGACACCUGCCCGGUGCUGGAAGGUUAAGGAGAGGGGUUAGCGUAAGCGAAGCUCUGAACUGAAGCCCCAGUAAACGGCGGCCGUAACUAUAACGGUCCUAAGGUAGCGAAAUUCCUUGUCGGGUAAGUUCCGACCCGCACGAAAGGUGUAACGAUUUGGGCACUGUCUCAACCAGAGACUCGGUGAAAUUAUAGUACCUGUGAAGAUGCAGGUUACCCGCGACAGGACGGAAAGACCCCGUGGAGCUUUACUGUAGCCUGAUAUUGAAUUUUGGUACAGUUUGUACAGGAUAGGCGGGAGCCAUUGAAACCGGAGCGCUAGCUUCGGUGGAGGCGCUGGUGGGAUACCGCCCUGACUGUAUUGAAAUUCUAACCUACGGGUCUUAUCGACCCGGGAGACAGUGUCAGGUGGGCAGUUUGACUGGGGCGGUCGCCUCCUAAAGUGUAACGGAGGCGCCCAAAGGUUCCCUCAGAAUGGUUGGAAAUCAUUCGUAGAGUGCAAAGGCAUAAGGGAGCUUGACUGCGAGACCUACAAGUCGAGCAGGGACGAAAGUCGGGCUUAGUGAUCCGGUGGUUCCGCAUGGAAGGGCCAUCGCUCAACGGAUAAAAGCUACCCCGGGGAUAACAGGCUUAUCUCCCCCAAGAGUCCACAUCGACGGGGAGGUUUGGCACCUCGAUGUCGGCUCAUCGCAUCCUGGGGCUGUAGUCGGUCCCAAGGGUUGGGCUGUUCGCCCAUUAAAGCGGUACGCGAGCUGGGUUCAGAACGUCGUGAGACAGUUCGGUCCCUAUCCGUCGUGGGCGUAGGAAAUUUGAGAGGAGCUGUCCUUAGUACGAGAGGACCGGGAUGGACGCACCGCUGGUGUACCAGUUGUUCUGCCAAGGGCAUAGCUGGGUAGCUAUGUGCGGAAGGGAUAAGUGCUGAAAGCAUCUAAGCAUGAAGCCCCCCUCAAGAUGAGAUUUCCCAUAGCGUAAGCUAGUAAGAUCCCUGAAAGAUGAUCAGGUUGAUAGGUUCGAGGUGGAAGCAUGGUGACAUGUGGAGCUGACGAAUACUAAUAGAUCGAGGACUUAACCAU
rnacentral:rRNA from 2 species